GACGAACGCUGGCGGCGUGCCUAAUACAUGCAAGUAGGACGCAGUUGCGAACGGGUGAGUAACGCGUAGGUAACUACCUAUUAGAGGGGGAUAACUAUUGGAAACGAUAGCUAAUACCUCAUACUAGUAGAUGGACCUGCGUUGUAUUAGCUAGUAGGUAGGGUAAUGGCCUACCUAGGCAACGAUACAUAGCCGUACGGGGAAGGUGGUCGGGCCAACGUGGACUGGGUCACGGCCCCGACGCCUACGGGCAGGGGCAAGAGGGAAUCUGCGGGAAUGGGGGGAAGCCUGACCGCGCGCGGCCGGGGGAGUUUGGAAGGAUAUCGGUUCUUAAAGCUCUGUUGUUAAGGAAGCGGUAGUUAACCAGAAAGGCACGGCUAACUACGUGCCAGCAGCCGCGGUAAUUC
rnacentral:rRNA from 1 species